AAGAAAAAAAAAAAAAAACCCUCUACUCAAGUCAUGCAAGGUGGAGAUAGAAAGUUCACACAGUGCAAAACUUCAGGAGUAAAAAAUUCACUGAGUUGGUAGGCUUUAUUUCAUCAUCAUUGAUCUAGUUUCUGAGGUCUUCAUUUUAGUAUUCCAUGAAUGUUCCAUAAGAUGUAAGUGAAAAUUAUAUGACAUAAUGUUACUCCAGUUAUGUGAUAUGAAAUUAAAUCUUAAAGAAUCAAGUAGAAUUUAAAAAGAAACCUAAGAAUCAUCUGUAUCUUAUCAUGUUGAAGGAUAACAAUUGCCCACUCCUGUAUGUACAAUAAUAAUAUGUAGCUAUUAUGCUGAUCAAUAACUAACAAAACAUCUCUCUA